rnacentral:tRNA from 1 species
GGCCUCGUAGCCCAGUUGGCUAGAGCGUUGACUGUACUAGAGCCUUCUCCUUGUUGUCGUGGAUUCGAAUCCCUCCGAGGCUG